UACAGAGACUGCAAGCGUUAUUCGGAUUCACUGGGCGUAAAGGGUGCGCAGGCGGUUGUGUGUGUCAGGUGUGAAAGCCCGGGGCUUAACCCCGGAAUUGCGCCUGAAACUACAUGACUAGAGCAUUGGAGAGGGUAGCGGAAUUCACGGUGUAGCAGUGAAAUGCGUAGAUAUCGUGAGGAACACCAGAGGCGAAGGCGAGUCCCUGGACACUUCCUGACACUGAGGCACGAAAGCUAGGGGAGCAAACAGG
rnacentral:rRNA from 1 species